UCCCUGGUGGUGAGGACGAGGCCGCCGCUCGCGGUGGCGGCCGGCGUCCCGGGUACGAACUCCAGCCAGGCGUC
rnacentral:tRNA from 1 species